UCUGUAAAUAGAAGAACACAUAACGCAUGUUGUAUGGUUAAACAACAGGAGAGCUUAAUUAUCUUCAAAACAAUAAUUGUUUUAACAUCACUUCAUAAUGGGUCAACUUAGAGGAAAGAAAUGAAUAAUUGACCAAUUUUUCAAAGGUAGUGUAAUGAAUCCAUGUACUUAGAUGUGCUUAUGCUUACAAUUUUUAUCUGCUUUACUUUUGUUUAUACAUUUACAUAUGUUUGUCGGAAAAUAGCUCAUGAGUUAGUGUUUUCUGUUUAAAUGUAUCCGAAGUAAAAUGUAUUUUCUUGUAUCUUGAACAAACCACAGAACGCUUCACUUUUGUUCCUUGGCUUAUGAGCCAUUUUAAAUCUGUCUUCUUGUUGUAUUUGGUUUCACGCCACACCAACACAGUUUAGGUCAUAUGUUGCAGAAACAGAAAAACGGAUUUUGGCUAACCUUGGGUGUUACAAACUUAAAGUAACACUAAAUGUCAAUACCAUCUCACUUGCUGGAGCUUAGAGAUGCAUAGACUCCAGUAAUUCAAACCCAUUUCUAUCACACAGGGAUAAACGCUGGUUGCAAUUCUGAUGCCCUCACACAACCCCUCAGUCACAAGGAGAAUGUGUGUCUUCAAUAACUUUAUACUUUAAUUCAAAAAUCAACGGUGCAAAGCUGAGCUUUGAACUCUUAACUCUUGUGAUCCUAAAAUAAGCCAUUUUGAUGUAUUGUGAUCUUGCAUCUGGCCUAUGCCAUUAGUGAAUUUAAAAUGUGAAAUUCAGGCUAUAAUGACCUCUGCCCCUUCUAGUCAUGUAAAAAAACCUUUUGGCAUUUGAACUCUGCAAGUCUUGUGACAACAAAAUGUGAAGUUUUGACUUAUGUAGGUCUUAUGAGCACGAAAUGUUAUCUUGUCAGCACAAAAUGGUAAGAUUUGUCUUGUGAAGGUCUUGUGAGCACAAAAUGUGAAGUUUUGACCUAUGGAUUUCUUGUGACCACAAAAUGUGAAGUUUUGACCUAUAAAGCUCUUGUGACCACAAAAUGUGAAAUUUUGACCUAUGGAGGUCUUGUGACCACAAAACCUAUGAAGGUCUUGUGACCACAAAAUGUGAAGUUUUGACCUAUAAAGCUCUUGUGAACCACAAAAUGUGAAGUUUUGACUUUGCAUUUCUUGUGAUCACAAAAUGUAAAGUUUUGACCUAUGAAGUCUUGUGACCACAAAAUGUGAAGUUUUGACUUAUGUAGGUCUUAUGAGCACAAAAUGUUAUCUUGUCAGCACAAAAUGGUAAGAUUUGUCCUGUGAAGGUCUUGUGAGCACAAAAUGUGAAGUUUUGACCUAUGGAUUUCUUGUGACCACAAAAUGUGAAGUUUUGACCUAUAAAGCUCUUGUGACCACAAAAUGUGAAAUUUUGACCUAUGGAGGUCUUGUGACCACAAAAUGUUAAGUUUUGACCUAUAAAGCUCUUGUGACCACAAAACUAUGAAGGUCUUGUGACCACAAAAAGUGAAGUUUUGACCUAUAAAGCUCUUGUGAUCCACAAAAUGUGAAGUUUUGACUUUGCAUUUCUUGUGAUCACAAAAUGUGAAGUUUUGACCUAUAAAGCUCUUGUGAACCACAAAAUGUGAAGUUUUGACUUUGCAUUUCUUGUGAUCACAAAAUGUAAAGUUUUGACCUUUGAUGCUCUUGUGACCAAAAAAUGUAAAGAAUUGACCAAUGGAGGUCUUGUCAACACAAAAUGUGAGGUUUUGACCAAUGUAGGUCUUGUGGUCACAAUAUGUGAAGUUUUGAUCAAUGUAGGUAUUGUGGCCACAACAUGUGAAGUUUUGAUCAAUGUAGAUCCUGUGACCACAAUAUAUGAAGUUUUAACAUCUGCAAGUUAUGUGACCUUUUGACCUAUGAAAGUCUUGUGACCACAACAUGUGAAGUUUUGACCAAUGUAGUCUUGUCAUCACCGAAAGUGAAAUUUUGAACCGGACAUCUACAUGUCUUGUUAAGUUUUGGUAUUUGGCCUAUGCCAAUUCUGAUUAAAUGUGCAUAUUGUUUUCUACAACUGACCUCUGCUUGCCCAUUUAUCAUCACAAAACAGGAAAGGUAUAGCAGUUCUUCAAGUCAAGAGAUCACAGAAUAUGAACUUCUACCUCUACAUGAUAUGAUUACAAAAUGUCAAAUUUUGAAACUGACAGUCGCACAACUUGUUACCACAAAAUAUGUAAUUCUUAACCCGACCUGUGCAUGAUGCAUUUGUUUGUUUGGUUGGUUUAUGGUUCACCAACACAGUAUAGGAAACUAUACACACAAGGCAUCAAAACCACCUCACCUGCUGGAGCUAAGAGAUGCAUUGACUCCAGAUGUUUGAACCCAUUUAGUCACCUCUUACGACCAUGCAGGAAUAACUUGACUUGCUUGGAUAUCUAACCAGUAAAUACCAAUUUAUCUGCAGGUGACUUAAUCCCACAUGAUAUUAAAAUCAGCAGUGAGAGACAAUUGACAAUUAAUGUCCCAGGUCAAUUCCCACAAAAAACUAUUUUUAACGAAAAACUUUUUUACGUCAUGUCAGGAAUGUACCAGUGACCCCUUGUUACAAAUUCAUUGAGCUAAAUUGGUUUACUAAAUCUACAAAGAGUAAUCUUGGCCAUAUGUAACAAACAAUAUAACCAAAACCAUGUUGACCUUAAUUUGCAUCAUCACAUCUUGUAGAUUAAGCACAUAUCACAAAAUACCACAUAAAUGGUUAAGUUAGCGAUACGAAAAUAUUGGCGAAUUUCACAAAUUGACUAAAAAAAUCGCUAAAAUUUCCUCUAACAUAAAUAUUACCCAAACUGUUUUCAGUUUUCGAGCUACUCAAAGAUUGGUGAAUUGCUUAUAUUUCCGCAUGCGAAAUGUCUGGAAAUUUUAAAUUUGCUAACUUUUCAACACACGGAAAUACCCACUUAUACAGUAAACCCAAUAAUUAUGAAGUUCUGUUAAAACAAAAAUGUCUGAAAAAUCAAAAGAUAAGGCAAAUAGAUAACAAAUAUAUUAUCUUAAAGUAAUUGAUAAAUACAUCAAUUUAUUAUAUCCAAUAUCUGAGCAAGAAUUUGCCCUAGGUAACUUUUUCAGCAUCCCUCGACUAUUUUUCAACUGCAACAUAUGUAUCGUGUAUAUGGCUGUCUUUCAUAGCUGAUGAAUGCUGAAAUUGCACGCCAUAGAACAUAUUCUCCAAGUGAAAUUGCCUGUUUGAUAUAUCCAAAAACUGUAACUUUUCUAUAAGCUCUCGCAAGCAGACAAGAGUAAAGGAACCUAGUUCAUUUAUAUCAGAAUAUAAUUAUUUAUCAACGCAUUUUUAUACCAGAGUCACUUCAAAAUCUAUCACCAAAUUCUACAAUAAAAAUGCACAAUAUAAUAACAAAAUUACAUGUAUCAAAUCUUUUCUAUUCAAAAAUAUAUAUUAUCAAAAUCUUUUCAACUCAAAAAGCUCUCUCCAAAUAAACUCUCACAAAAUUGUCUACCAAAUUUUCAAUCAUGUCUUUAACUUAAAAUACUUUUUAAAAAGUGUAUACGUUUAUCAAAAAACCAUUUUUUUUCAGCCAAUAAUUAUAUAAAAGCUAUGUGGACAUUAGCAGGUGUGGUAUUUCUAUUCUACUGUGUUGUUUUUUUCAGUGAUUCUUUUUUAUAAAUGAGCCGCGUCAUGACAAAACCAACAUAAUGUGUUUGCGACCAGCAUGGAUCCAGACCAGCCUGCGCAUCCGCGCAGUCUGAUCAGGAUCCAUGCUGUUCGCUUACAGACCCUAUAACAAGUAAAGAAACUGAUAGCGAACAGCAUGGAUCCUGAUCAGACUGUGCGGAUGCGCAGGCUGGUCUGGAUCCAUGCUGGUUGCAAACCCAUUAUGUUGGUUUUGUCAUGACGCGGCUCAAAUCAGCUAGUAAUCUAAUCUCAUACACAAAGUGUCGUUAAACAAACAAAAAGUCGAUGCUCUGCAAAAUUUUAGUUCUACUAAAAAACACGUACGUAUGCAAGUUUGUUGCAUAGAUAUGUUAAAGAAUUAUGUUAUUCAUUUUUUGUAUUUGUAAAUACACAUCUUGUCACGAUUGUGAGUCGUUGAAGAUAUAUCUAGUUAGCAUUCAGUAAUCAUUAUUAAUGUUAUGCAAAUUUUUAGUUCUCUGUUGUUACACAUUGCUGGUAUUUUAAGUUCUCAACAAGUUUUUCUAUUUGUAUCCUAUCCCUUACAAAGCUACAUCUUAACUUGAUUUGACAAUCUUUUAACAGACAAAUUGGAAAUGAUCAUUUAAGAAAUUAAGGGAAAAUUAAAAAAAUUUACUGGCUGAAAACGAACUGUACCAACUACGAUCGGACGGCAUGUAUGCGCGGCUGAUCCUGGUCAGCACUGGUUGCUAGAGUAGAUUCUGUAUGGGACUAUCGGACUGCAGCUUAAAGUUAAAAUGGAACACAAAUGUCCCAAAUAAACUUUCUUACACAAAUGAUCAAGUCAUAGACUUCUGCAAAUAGUGCAUGUCAUUCCAUUAAAUAUAUAGACCCCUUCCCAAUAAUAUUUAAUCUUUUCAUCUGUGUAACACAGUUUAAAAUAUUUUUCUUACAAUACAAUGAAGAACUACUUUUUCCCCAUUUUUUUUUCAUUUUCAGAACUACUUUUUUAAUAUAAUUUUUUUUUUCAGAACUAUUUUUUUUACAGAAUUUUUUCUUUCCAGAACUACUUGUAUUACAUAUUUAUUAUAAUAACCAGCAAUGUGUUAUAGAGACUACAUGUAUAUUAAAGUGCGCUAGCAGUGCCCGCAUGCUAAUUGACAAUAUAGCUACACUCUCGCUUGUAUACCCUUGGGAUAAUUUACCAUUUUAGGACAUUUUUUCUCUUUUCAUUUUUUUUUAAUAAACAAAUAUCUUAAAUAUCGCAAGAAGAAAAUAAAAAUUCUUUUUUAUUAAAAUUCUUUGGGAAAAAAAGAAAAUAAUUAUAUAUUUAACUGUAAUCAGUGUGAAAAUUAAAACAAAUGAAAAUAAGAAAAAUAAUAAUCAAAUGGCAAAACUACAACAUUUAAUUAAACAACAACAACAACUUCUACUCAGCCAUUUUGUGGUAUUCUUUUAAAGACCGGUAUUGAGUUUUGCAUAUAAAUUUUGGGUAAAUAUAUACCACUAAUUUUCAAAUUUUAGAGAUUUGUGCCGAUUUGAAUUUUAUAAUUUUAGCUUGCUCUCUGCUUUCAUAAGCAUUAAUUUCAGCGCUGGCUCAAAACUAAGCAUCGCAGUUUAUAAUAUAUAUAUGUAUGUAUGCGUGCCCUUCUAUAAAAGCAAUGAAAUUCAAAAACUGGCUUGCUUUGUGUUGCUUUAUUAGAUAUUAAAUAAGCACAUAAACUAACAGCAUUGCUUGAAAAAAAAAUCAAGAUAGAUUAUUGACCAGACUCAAAGCUCAGAUACCAGGUAAUGGUUCUUUCGAUCUUUCAUAUUUUGCAAAAUAAAAAAACAAACUAACAACAAUUUUCAAGUGUUUUUUUCCAGUUGCGAUAUCGUCCAAAAAAUCAUAUUACGAACAGUUUUUUAACCUUGAGGAAGGGAAGGGAAAGGGAGGGGAAACGAGUCACGUUUUUUACCAUUCCAAUGUCAAUUCACUGGAGUGGUUUUGUUUUUGUUUUGGUGCUAAAAUUGCAAGGCAAUGUUCAGUGCAAAAAAUUAAGCAGAAAAUUAAUAAUUGAACUGUCGUAGUAGGG